GACCCACUUCCCGUUACUUUUACAUGUUUCCCCAAAACAGACGUAUUAGCAGAAAAUUUUCUAUCCCUAGCGGAACAGACGAAGCGAGCUCUCCCCCUUUUCCAUUGAAGUUGGACAAUCUCUGCAACCGUUGUAGGAUUUGGUGGGGCAUCAAACAAAUCACGACAAAUCAACAACGAGGGUUAAGUUCUCGGUUUUUCCUUUGGGAACUUGAAAAGUUUUAAAAGUACACUGCAGUCUGUCAACGGUUAUCUCCGUCUCUUUACUGUCUACACUCUUCUCAGAGUUCAGACUCGCCUAUCCUUGCCGAAUAAGCAAGAAUGGAGCAUUCUACGGAGAAAUCCGACGACAGAAGAGAUGGCCACCGGCAACAAGAAGUGGAGGUGUCACCGUCGUUGUCGUGUUUGCUCACUCUGCCGCUUGGGGAAUCGGUUUCGACCUUCAGUCUGGAGAAAGCCGUCUGCAGCCAUGGGCUGUUCAUGAUGGCACCGAACCAGUGGGACCCAUCGACUAAGACCUUCCAACGCCCCUUGCGACUCUCUGAUGAAACCACUGCCAUCCUAGUCCGCAUCUCCCAUCCCCCAAUUCCCCUUCUCUCCAUGUCCGCGUUCUCGGCACCGCUUCCCUCUCUCCCGACGAUCAACGAGUUCUGUUGGCUCAGGUAACCCGAAUGCUGCGAUUAUCGGACAGUGAUGAAAGGAAUAUAAGAGAAUUUCACAAGAUCCACCAUGAAGCCAAGGAAAGGGGUUUUGGCCGAGUUUUUCGAUCCCCGACACAGCGACCUGUGUAGCAGCUGGAUGAUAUCGGGGGGUGUUGAAGCGAUGCAUGAAACGCCAAAAAGCGACCUGUGCUUUUUUGUUCGUUCAACCCGGAAUGAUUUUUGUAAAGGGUAUUUUUGAUAUUUAAAAUUUUUUAAUUUGCAUGUGAGCUUCUAACUAACGGAAAUCUACGUCGGUAUCA